GGUGCGUAACGCGUGGGAAUCUGCCCUUGGGUUCGGAAUAACGUCGGGAAACUGACGCUAAUACCGGAUGAUGACGUAAGUCCAAAGAUUUAUCGCCCAGGGAUGAGCCCGCGUAGGAUUAGCUAGUUGGUGAGGUAAAGGCUCACCAAGGCGACGAUCCUUAGCUGGUCUGAGAGGAUGAUCAGCCACACUGGGACUGAGACACGGCCCAGACUCCUACGGGAGGCAGCAGUAGGGAAUAUUGGACAAUGGGCGAAAGCCUGAUCCAGCAAUGCCGCGUGAGUGAUGAAGGCCUUAGGGUUGUAAAGCUCUUUUACCCGAGAUGAUAAUGACAGUAUCGGGAGAAUAAGCUCCGGCUAACUCCGUGCCAGCAGCCGCGGUAAUACGGAGGGAGCUAGCGUUGUUCGGAAUUACUGGGCGUAAAGCGCACGUAGGCGGCGAUUUAAGUCAGAGGUGAAAGCCCGGGGCUCAACCCCGGAACUGCCUUUGAGACUGGAUUGCUUGAAUCCUGGAAAGGUGAGUGGCAAUUCCGAGUGUAG
rnacentral:rRNA from 1 species